rnacentral:rRNA from 1 species
AUGAACGUCUAGCGGCAGGCUUAAUACAUGCGAGUCGUGGGGCAGCAGGUCUGUAGCAAUACAGAUGCUGGCGACCGGCAAACGGGUGCGGAACACGUACACAACCCUUCCUUUAAGUGGGGGAACUAGCCCAGAGAAAAUUUGGAUUAAUACCCCGUAACAUAUAGAAGUGGCAUCACUUUUAUUUUAUAGCUCCGGCGCUUAAAGAGGGUGUGCGGCUGAUUAGAUAGUUGGCGGGGGCCCGGGUAACGGCCCACCAAGUCGACGAUCAGUAACUGGUGUGAGAGCACGACCAGUCACACGGGCACUGAGGACACGGGCCCGACUCCUACGGGGAUGGCAGCAGUAAGGAAUAUUGGUCAAUGGACGCAAGUCCUGAACCAGCCAUGCGCGUCGGAGGAUGAAGGUCCCCUCUGGAUUGUAAACUUCUUUUAUUUGGGAAGAAAUCUAUCUUUUCUUGGAUAGUUGACGGUACCAGAUGAAUAAGCACCGGCUAACUCCGUGCCAGCAGCCGCCGGUAAUACGGAGGGGUGCAAGCGUUAUCCGGAUUCACUGGGUUUAAAGGGUGCGUAGGUGGGCAAGUAAGUCAGGUGGUGAAAUCUCCGGGCUUACACCCGGAAACUGCCAUUGAUACUAUUUGUCUUGAAUACUGUGGAGGUCAGCGGAAUAUGUCAUGUAGCGGUGAAAUGACUUAGAUAUGACAUAGAACACCAAUUGCGAAGGCAGCUGGCUACACAAAUAUUGACACUGAGGCACGAAAGCGUGGGGAUCAAACAGGAUUAGAUACCCUGGUAGUCCACGCCCUAAACUAUGGAUACUCGACAUUUGGCGAUAAACUGCAAGUGUCUGGGCAGAAAGCAUUAAGUAUCCCACCUGGGAAGUACGAUCGCAGAUUGAAACUCAAAGGAAUUGGCGGGGGGUCCGCACAAGCGGUGGAGCAUGUUGGUUUAAUUCGAUGAUACGCGAGGAGAACCUUACCUGGGCUAGAAUGCUGGGAGACCGUGGGUGAAAGCUCACUUUGUAGCAAUACACUGCCAGUAAGGUGCUGCAUGGGCUGUCGUCAGCUCGUGCCGUGACGGUGUUGGGUUAAGUCCCGCAACGAGCGCAACCCCCAUCACUAGUUGCCAUCAGGUAACGCUGGGAACUCUAGUGAAACUGCCGUCGUAAGACGUGAGGAAGGAGGGGAUGAUGUCAAGUCAUCAUGGCCUUUAUGCCCCAGGGCUACACACGUGCUACAAUGGGGCGUACAAAGGGCUGCAACAUAGUGAUAUUAAGCUAAUCCCAAAAAACGCCUCUCAGUUCAGAUUGGAGUCUGCAACUCGACUCCAUGAAGCUGGAAUCGCUAGUAAUCGUAUAUCAGCAAUGAUACGGUGAAUACGUUCCGGACCUUGCACACACGCCCCGUCAAGCCCAUGGAAGCUGGGUGUACCUAAAGUCGGUAACCGUAAGGAGCCGCCUAGGGUAAACUAGUGACUGGGGCU